rnacentral:rRNA from 1 species
UACGAAGGGGGCUAGCGUUGUUCGGAAUUACUGGGCGUAAAGCGCACGUAGACGGGUAUUUAAGUCAGGGGUGAAAUCCCAGAGCUCAACUCUGGAACUGCCUUUGAUACUGGGUACCUAGAGUAUGGAAGAGGUGAGUGGAAUUCCGAGUGUAGAGGUGAAAUUCGUAGAUAUUCGGAGGAACACCAGUGGCGAAGGCGGCUCACUGGUCUAUUACUGACGCUGAGGUGCGAAAGCGUGGGGAGCAAACAGG